AGCAAGCGGGAGGCAGGCACAGCCUCGAGGUGAGAAGUGGCUGAGAAUCCGCGUCAGGAGUCCCAGGUCCGAGAUGGAAUUGGCUCCGAGCUGGGGCAGCGGGGACUACUCGAGCUGCUGAGCCGCGCGCAGAGGGACGUCCGGACUCCUGGCUCGCGUCGAGCUCGACAAGGACCGGAGUUGCGGACGAGGCGGGACGGAGAGGUGUCCUUGCGGGCGGCGCCUCCCCGGAGCUGGCAAUGCCCGGGCGCGGCGCUCGCAGAUUCUGCCUAAGCGGAGCCCAGCGGCACACGCGGCGAGGCGGCAGCUAGGGCGGCUCGGUAGGGGUCCCGGCGUGGAGACCAAGCGGGCGCCCUUUCCUCGCGGCGGACUGGGAGCGACUGGGAGUUCCCUGACCAGGGAUUGAACCUGGGCCCUCAGCUGGGAGAGCAUGGAGUCCUAACCACUGGAUUGCCAGGGAAUUCCCCGAAGGCUCAUUUUUAAGCUGCUCAGGCAAAAUGGCACCCUUUCUCCUCCCAAACCAAUGAGCUUCGCUGAGAGCAGAUCCAGCACAGAAGACAGCCAGAGCCAUGCCGGUUGGCAGACACUUGUCUUUAGCAAAUGUAAUUAAAGGCAGCAGCAAGCAUCCCACCUGAUGAGAAAACAGUCUUUCCACUCAACACAGAGGACUGAGGGAAGAGCGCUAAACUUGGGGUCAGAAUACCUGGAGGGUCUACACCAGCUCUACCACUUUCCAGCUGUGUGAUAUCCGACAAGUCACACGUCACCUCUCUGAACUGCAGUCCCAGCAAGGGUAACUGCUCUCCUACCCUUCACGAUUUGUUAUGAGGAUCCGGACAAUGAUGUGAAAUUCCUUUUCAAAUUAUUCACCAUUCUGUAAA